UACAGAGGUGGCAAGCGUUGUUCGGAAUUACUGGGCGUAAAGGGCGCGUAGGCGGCCAACUAAGUCAGACGUGAAAUCCCUCGGCUCAACCGGGGAACUGCGUCUGAUACUGGAUGGCUUGAAUUCGGGAGAGGGAUGCGGAAUUCCCAGGUGUAGCGGUGAAAUGCGUAGAUAUCUGGAGGAACACCGGGUGGCGAAGGCGGCAUCCUGGACCGAGAUUGACGCUGAUGCGCGAAAGCCAGGGGAGCAAAGCGGG
rnacentral:rRNA from 1 species